GAUGAACGCUGGCGGCGUGCUUAACACAUGCAAGUCGAACGGAAAGGCCCAAGCUUGCUUGGGUACUCGAGUGGCGAACGGGUGAGUAACACGUGGGUGAUCUGCCCUGCACUUCGGGAUAAGCCUGGGAAACUGGGUCUAAUACCGGAUAGGACCACAUUUUGGAUGGUGUGGUGGAAAGUUUUUCGGUGUGGGAUGAGCUCGCGGCCUAUCAGCUUGUUGGUGGGGUAAUGGCCUACCAAGGCGUCGACGGGUAGCCGGCCUGAGAGGGUGUACGGCCACAUUGGGACUGAGAUACGGCCCAGACUCCUACGGGAGGCAGCAGUGGGGAAUAUUGCACAAUGGGCGCAGGCCUGAUGCAGCGACGCCGCGUGGGGGAUGACGGCCUUCGGGUUGUAAACUCCUUUCGCUAGGGACGAAGCGUUUUUGUGACGGUACCUGGAGAAGAAGCACCGGCUAACUACGUG
rnacentral:rRNA from 1 species